rnacentral:rRNA from 1 species
GAUGAACGCUAGCAGAACGCUUAACACAUGCAAGUCGAACGGCAGCACAGGAGAGCUUGCUCUCUGGGUGGCGAGUGGCGGACGGGUGAGGAAUACAUCGGAAUCUACUUUUUCGUGGGGGAUAACGUAGGGAAACUUACGCUAAUACCGCAUACGACCUACGGGUGAAAGCAGGGGACCUUCGGGCCUUGCGCGAUUGAAUGAGCCGAUGUCGGAUUAGCUAGUUGGCGGGGUAAAGGCCCACCAAGGCGACGAUCCGUAGCUGGUCUGAGAGGAUGAUCAGCCACACUGGAACUGAGACACGGUCCAGACUCCUACGGGAGGCAGCAGUGGGGAAUAUUGGACAAUGGGCGCAAGCCUGAUCCAGCCAUACCGCGUGGGUGAAGAAGGCCUUCGGGUUGUAAAGCCCUUUUGUUGGGAAAGAAAUCCAGCUGGCUAAUACCCGGUUGGGAUGACGGUACCCAAAGAAUAAGCACCGGCUAACUCCGUGCCAGCCGCCGCAGUAA